GUAGUGGUCACCGCAAGGUUUCCGGUGAGUUCACCGGGCAUGACACACGGGGUUCGCUGAAGGCGGGCCCUGACCGGCAACGCCGGACCGAAUCAACCCGCCGGUGCUGACACCGGC
rnacentral:ncRNA from 1 species